rnacentral:tRNA from 4 species
GCAGUGGUAGUUCAGUUGGUUAGAAUACCGGCCUGUCACGCCGGGGGUCGCGGGUUCGAGUCCCGUCCACUGCG